UACGGGGGGGCAAGCGUUGUUCGGAAUUACUGGGCGUAAAGGGCUCGUAGGCGGCCAACUAAGUCGGAUGUGAAAUCCCCAAGCUUAACUUGGGAACUGCAUCCGAUACUGGAUGGCUUGAAUCCGGGAGAGGGAUGCAGAAUUCCAGGUGUAGCGGUGAAAUGCGUAGAUAUCUGGAGGAAUACCGGUGGCGAAGGCGGCAUCCUGGACCGGCAUUGACGCUGAGGAGCGAAAGCUAGGGGAGCAAAUGGGG
rnacentral:rRNA from 1 species